UACGUAGGAUGCGAGCGUUGUCCGGAUUUAUUGGGUUUAAAGGGUGCGUAGGCGGCUUAAUAAGUCAGUGGUAAAAGGUAGCAGCUUAACUGUUUUACACGCCAUUGAUACUGUUAGGCUUGAGAUUUUUUGAGGAAGGCAGAAUUCCUGAUGUAGCGGUGAAAUGCAUAGAUAUCAGGAGGAAUACCAAUUGCGAAGGCAGCUUUCUGGGGAACAUCUGACGCUGAGGCACGAAAGCAUGGGGAUCAAACAGG
rnacentral:rRNA from 1 species